AACGCACAUUGCGCCCUUUGGUAUUCCACUGGGCAUGCCUGUUCGAGCGUCAUUUACACUCUCAAGCACUGCUUGGUGUUGGGUGUUUGUCUGCAUUUGCGCAGACUCACCUUAAAUGGAUUGGCGGCAGCACCUCUAGCUUCUUGCGCAGCACAUUGCGGUAGAAGGAGCUGGUAGUAGUCUGCAACCACAAAGACAUCUUUAGUUUGACCUCGAAUCAGGUAGGGAUACCCGCUGAACUUAA
rnacentral:misc_RNA from 1 species